AUGACCUUACUUGAACAGGAUCUAUUCUAUAGGCUCGUACAGUUGCGUCCUUUACCGGAAAGGAGGCUUUUCCUGGUUGAUGAGACAAUGACCUCUGGGCCAGAGCGCGUGAUUAACGGCCAGGAUUGCUUCUCUGGUUUACUCCGGCGUAGGGUUGCUCAGUUGUCUGACAGGAC
rfam:Oryza brachyantha chromosome 8, whole genome shotgun sequence.